AACGCGAAGAACCUUACCAAGGCUUGACAUCCACAGAAGUUUCUAGAAAUAGAGAUGUGCCCGAAAGGGAACUGUGAGACAGGUGGUGCAUGGCUGUCGUCAGCUCGUGUCGUGAGAUGUUGGGUUAAGUCCCGCAACGAGCGCAACCCUCGAUGUUAGUUACCAUCAUUAAGUUGGGGACUCUAACGUGACUGCCGGUGAUAAGCCGGAGGAAGGUGAGGACGACGUCAAGUCAUCAUGCCCCUUACGUCUUGGGCUACACACGUCCUACAAUGGCAUAGACAAAGGGCUGCAAGCUAGCGAUAGUGAGCGAAUCCCAUAAACUAUGUCUCAGUUCGGAUUGCAGGCUGCAACUCGCCUGCAUGAAGUAGGAAUCGCUAGUAACCGUAGAUCAGCACGCUACGGUGAAUACGUUCCCGGGCCUUGUACACACCGAGUAUA
rnacentral:rRNA from 1 species